GGCCCCUUGGUCAAGUGGUUAAGACAUCGCCCUUUCACGGCGGUAUCACGGGUUCGAAUCCCGUAGGGGUCAUCA
rnacentral:tRNA from 2 species